GCCAGACUCCUACGGGAGGCAGCAGUGGGGGAUAUUGCACAAUGGGGGAAACCCUGAUGCAGCGACGCCGCGUGAGUGAAGAAGUAUUUCGGUACGUAAAGCUCUAUCAGCAGGGAAGAAAAAUGACGGUACCUGACUAAGAAGCCCCGGCUAACUACGUGCCAGCAGCCGCGGUAAUACGUAGGGGGCAAGCGUUAUCCGGAAUUACUGGGUGUAAAGGGAGCGUAGACGGCUGUGCAAGUCUGGAGUGAAAGGCGGGGGCCCAACCCCCGGACUGCUCUGGAAACUGUAUGGCUGGAGUGCAGGAGAGGUAAGCGGAAUUCCUAGUGUAGCGGUGAAAUGCGUAGAUAUUAGGAGGAACACCAGUGGCGAAGGCGGCUUACUGGACUGUAACUGACGUUGAGGCUCGAAAGCGUGGGGAGCAAACAGGAUUAGAUACCCGGGUACC
rnacentral:rRNA from 1 species